rnacentral:lncRNA from 1 species
CCCCAUUCUUCCUUAUUCUCUUUUAUUCUUCCUCUCUCCUCACUCUUUCAUCUCUCUGCCACCCGCCCGUCGCCCUAUUCCGCCGGCUUUGCCACCAUCGGUGGACGACCUCUAUUCGAUCCCAUUUUUCACCAUUUAUUCGUAUCAACCUCCUCUCCAUGAAUCCGAACUACAAAUCCCCUCUCAAUCUCCGUAAAUCUAAGUUUAGUCGAAACCCUAGCCAGUGCUCACCACCCCAAACUCUGAAAAUUUUAUACCACUGGCCUCCUCUCACCCUUCUCUUCUCCAUUCCCCGCCCUAAAACUUUGCAAACCCCUCCAAAACCGGAGAACUUAGGCCAGCCACCGCCGACCACCCCGUUGCCCGCCACACCACUGCUCGCCACUGCCUCAACCAUCCAAGACCAUCAGUGGCCCUUCAUUUUUAGACUAUUCCCGACCAAAAAUGCUCGUCUCUCUUUAGCAUAACGCUAGACUCAUUUGUUUUGGUGUGUGCUAGAAAGAAAUGCUCGUUCAAGGUCAGGUAGUCACGGCAUCAUCCUUGGUAUCUCAGGACUACUUGAAUUGGCGUCAAUUCCUCUCGUGUUAUAUGGCUCUACUUCCAUCUUCUUUUCCUUUUUAGAUUUUUAUUUGUCAUUAGGUUUAGGUUUCAUUUAAUUUCUCCGCUCGUUCUUAUUUGUCGUUACUAAUUCAUUUGAUCGUAUAUGUAUUUCUGUAUUAGCUAUAUUAAUUAGCCACCUAUCCUUAGGUUGUUUGGCUUAAACUUUGUUUAAUCAUCUUAAGUGUCGUUGCAUGUAAGUACAUUAGAUUAGUAUAUGUUACUCUUGUUUUUCUUUAAAAAUCAAAAAGUAUAAUCUAUAAUUAGUUUAGAUUAAUUAAUCCUUGGUUUCCUUUAAACUACUAUUUAUUCUUUUUGGUCGAGUAUGUUCAGUGUUUAGUCUAGUUUCGUUGUUGCAUUUUUGUAUUAAAUUAUUUGCUUAGCCGUAUAUAAAGCAAUAGAUUUGUUUGUGAUUAGGUUCAAGCUCUGAUUUUCAGGUUUAGUAUUUCUAGUUUUGUCUAUGUUUAAACUAAUUAGUUUAAGGUCUUAACUACAUAUUUUAUUUAUUUAUAGUCAUGAAAUUCUUUUGUUAGUUUAAUGGUUCAAGUCUAGUUAUCAGAUUUUGCACCUUCUAGUUUGAAGCAAUGGUUUAGUUUGAUAUUGGUUUAUGAGUAUAGUAGAAGGUACUGAGUGUAGGGCCUUUGUUAGUUUGUUUUUACUGUUUGAGGACCAUUUUGGGUACAAUACUCCAAAAUAUUGUUCAUAUUUGGUGAGAACAACGGUUCAUUGACCAAAAUUCUGGUUUUGAACAGAUUUUUGGUAAAAAAUCCAUCAUUUUGGACAGAGUUUUGGCCAAACAAAAUCUAUCGCAAGGUCCUUCUUCCCCUUACAAAAGGAGGUGUUCUUUCCUCAUUUCAAGAGGGCAGCUUUUACUCUAAAAAUAGACACAUCUUUACACACUCUAGACAUGGGAAAGACUUUGAGACAAAAGCAACAGAGAGUUUGUGAGCUUUUAAAUGAGUUUUCUGAAACUAAAAUACUAAAAAGAACAAAGGCCCUUAAAGUUUAGUUGUUGGCCCUGAAAGUUUGUCGAGCUUCGAGGUCUAUUCGGGUUGAUUUCUCUGGUUCUUUUUCUGCCAUUUGUUGUUGUCUCUUUCUUGUUUGUUGCUGUCACUGCUGCUGAUUUUUAGUUCUCAUCCCAUGCUGACAUUUUUCUACUAUCCAGAUAAUGCUUUUAAUGUACUGAAAUCUUCCUCAAUGAAGGCAAACGAAGCAAUUUGAGUUCUUUUACUUCAUUGUACCAUUAAAGCACUCUAUUCUUAACAAUUUUUGUAUUUAAGUACCAGUGCUAUGUAAUGGAUAGUUGAAAUUCCUAUUUUGUUUAUAUCCACCAAGCAUGAUAUUGCUGCUUCUCAAUCUCUGUUUGUGUUUAUCUCAUAUAGUUCUGGUUGUUCUUUAGUUUGGUUCACAAGAAUAUUCGGGUGGGCUUGAUGAUGCUUCAGUGAUUAUCUAAUAAG